CCUACGGGUGGCAGCAGUGGGGAAUAUUGGACAAUGGGGGCAACCCUGAUCCAGUCAUGCCGCGUGUGUGAAGAAGGCCCUCGGGUUGUAAAGCACUUUCAGUGAGGAAGAACGCCUGGUGGUUAAUACCCAUCAGGAAAGACAUCACUCACAGAAGAAGCACCGGCUAACUCCGUGCCAGCAGCCGCGGUAAUACGGAGGGUGCGAGCGUUAAUCGGAAUUACUGGGCGUAAAGCGCGCGUAGGUGGCUUGAUAAGCCGGUUGUGAAAGCCCCGGGCUCAACCUGGGAACGGCAUCCGGAACUGUCAAGCUAGAGUGCAGGAGAGGAAGGUAGAAUUCCCGGUGUAGCGGUGAAAUGCGUAGAGAUCGGGAGGAAUACCAGUGGCGAAGGCGGCCUUCUGGACUGACACUGACACUGAGGUGCGAAAGCGUGGGUAGCAAACAGGAUUAGAUACCCGUGUAGUC
rnacentral:rRNA from 1 species